rfam:Haemonchus contortus, ISE/inbred ISE, WGS project CAVP01000000 data, contig: Hcontortus_41996
GGCCCAAAUUCGCAGUAAAGUAGAUUAGUAGAAUUAGCUGACUAUACUGAUCUACUCUGCUUCAAGUUUGUGCCC